UACGGAGGAUGCAAGCGUUAUCCGGAAUCAUUGGGCGUAAAGCGUCCGUAGGUGGCUUUUCAAGUCUGCCGUCAAAGACCGGGGCUUAACCCCAGAAAGGCGGUGGAAACUGAAUAGCUAGAGUGCAGUAGGGGUAGAGGGAAUUCCCGGUGUAGCGGUGAAAUGCGUAGAGAUCGGGAAGAACACCCGUGGCGAAGGCGGCCAUCUGGACCAGCACUGACACUGAGGCACGAAAGCGUGGGGAGCAAACAGG
rnacentral:rRNA from 1 species